rnacentral:rRNA from 1 species
GAUGAACGCUGGCGGCGUGCCUAAUACAUGCAAGUAGAACGCUGAAGCUUGGUGCUUGCACCGAGCGGAUGAGUUGCGAACGGGUGAGUAACGCGUAGGUAACCUGCCUCUUAGCGGGGGAUAACUAUUGGAAACGAUAGCUAAUACCGCAUAAAAGUCGAUAUCGCAUGAUGUUGAUUUGAAAGGUGCAAUUGCAUCACUAAGAGAUGGACCUGCGUUGUAUUAGCUAGUUGGUGAGGUAACGGCUCACCAAGGCGACGAUACAUAGCCGACCUGAAGGGUGAUCGGCCACACUGGGACUGAGACACGGCCCAGACUCCUACGGGGGCAGCAGUAGGGAAUCUUCGGCAAUGGGGGCAACCCUGACCGAGCAACGCCGCGUGAGUGAAGAAGGUUUUCGGAUCGUAAAGCUCUGUUGUAAGAGAAGAACGAGUGUGAGAGUGGAAAGUUCACACUGUGACG